UAUUCAGUUUCGUAACACGGUAACAGGUUAUGUCGACCAUGCCAGGAGGGCAGGAAGCCAAUUUCUGUUACAACCAGACUCUUUUUUCAGGAUGAAAUUAGGGACACCUCCAGGAUGGAGAAUGAGAGCCGGCCUGGGAAUGCCGGUGGGGCAGGAGCCUAAAGGAAUGCGAUCACGGAUGAUUAUGAAGGAUCGACCGUCACGGAUGAAAGAGGGAUCGCCAGCAAGGAUUGUGGGUUAGGAGGACCAUCAGGGACAAGUUUUCAAGGACGAGCAGGGAAGCAACAAGGUAGCGGGACUGCUGCAAACGAACUAAGAGGGAACCGAGAAAUCGGUUCCCUCUUUUCGUUUU
rfam:Dickeya dadantii 3937, complete genome.